UUACUGCACCAGAAGCCGGUAGCUUAACCGCAAGGGGAGCGCCGUCCACGGUGUGGUCGAUGACUGGGGUGAAGUCGUAACAAGGUAGCCGUAGGUGAACCUGCAGAAGGAUCA
rnacentral:rRNA from 1 species